rnacentral:rRNA from 1 species
CGUGUAGGCGGUUGGCCAAGUCCGAUGUGAAAGCCCGAGGCUCAGCCUCGGAAGUGCAUCGGAAACUAGCCGGCUGGAGCGCGAUAGAGGAGGGUGGAAUUCCUGGUGUAGCGGCGAAAUGCGUAGAUAUCAGGAGGAACACCGGCGGCGAAGGCGGCCCUCUGGAUCGUUGCUGACGCUGAGACGCGAAAGCGUGGGGAGCAAACAGGAUUAGAUACCCUGGUAGUCCACGCUGUAAACGAUGGGUACUAGGUGUUCGGGGUAUUGACCCCCUGAGUGCCGCAGUUAACGCAUUAAGUACCCCGCCUGGGGACUACGGCCGCAAGGUUAAA